rnacentral:rRNA from 1 species
AUACGUAGGUGGCAAGCGUUGUCCGGAUUUACUGGGCGUAAAGGAUGCGUAGGCGGAUAUUUAAGUGAGAUGUGAAAUACCCGGGCUUAACUUGGGUGCUGCAUUUCAAACUGGAUAUCUGGAGUGCGGGAGAGGAGAGUGGAAUUUCUAGUGUAGCGGUGAAAUGCGUAGAGAUUAGGAAGAACACCAGUGGCGAAGGCGACUCUCUGGACCGUAACUGACGCUGAGGCAUGAAAGCGUUGGAAGCAAACAGAAUUACAUCCCCUAGUAGCCCACGCCGUAAACGAUGAAUUCUAGGUGUGGGAGGCUCCAACCUUCCGUGCCUUCGUUAACACAUUAAGUAUUCCGCCUGGGGAGUACGGUCGCAAGAUUAA